rnacentral:sRNA from 1 species
CAACGAAGCAGAUGAAGGCGACGGUGGC